CCUACGGGAGGCAGCAGUGGGGAAUUUUGGACAAUGGGGGCAACCCUGAUCCAGCCAUGCCGCGUGAGUGAAGAAGGCCUUCGGGUUGUAAAGCUCUUUCGGCCGGGAAAAAAUCGCAUGGGUUAAUACCCUGUGUGGAUGAUGGUACCGGAAUAAGAAGCACCGGCUAACUACGUGCCAGCAGCCGCGGUAAUACGUAGGGUGCGAGCGUUAAUCGGAAUUACUGGGCGUAAAGCGUGCGCAGGCGGUUUGAUAAGACAGGCGUGAAAUCCCCGGGCUCAACCUGGGAACUGCGUUUGUGACUGUCUCACUAGAGUACGGCAGAGGGGGGUGGAAUUCCACGUGUAGCAGUGAAAUGCGUAGAGAUGUGGAGGAACACCAAUGGCGAAGGCAGCCCCCUGGGUCGAUACUGACGCUCAUGCACGAAAGCGUGGGUAGCAAACAGGAUUAGAUACCCUGGUAGUCCACGCCCUAAACGAUGUCAACUAGGUGUUGGGUGGGUAAAACCNUUUAGUACCGUAGCUAACGCGAGAAGUUGACCGCCUGGGGAUUACGGCCGCAAGGUUAAAACUCAAAGGAUUGACGG
rnacentral:rRNA from 1 species